CAAAACCUCUAACUGCAGUGGAGUUUAUCACUCCGCUGACCAAGCAAGAUCCUGUAUACAAAGAGGAAGAGGAAUCAUUCAAGGGUUGGUAUGCCAAAACACCGCUGGGCAAAAAGAGAGUAAAAGCUGCAAAAGAACAAGAAAGUGAAGAAGGAAGGGA